GAGGCCGGCGGCAGCGGGCGGCAGCUGCGGCGCAACCGGCUCCGGAGCUGCCUGGCGCGGCCGGGCGGGCGGCGCCGCUCAGGCUCGGGCUCCGGCUGGGCCCGGCGCGGCCUCGGGGCUGCCCAUGGGGCGCGGGGGGCCGGGCCGGUGACGCCGGACGCCCAUGGACGCCUCUGAGGAGCCGCUGCCGCCGGUGAUCUACACCAUGGAGAACAAGCCCAUCGUCACCUGUGCUGGAGAUCAGAAUUUAUUUACCUCUGUUUAUCCAACGCUCUCUCAGCAGCUUCCAAGAGAACCAAUGGAAUGGAGAAGGUCCUAUGGCCGGGCUCCGAAGAUGAUUCACCUAGAGUCUAACUUUGUUCAAUUCAAAGAGGAGCUGCUGCCCAAAGAAGGAAACAAAGCUCUACUCACGUUUCCCUUCCUCCAUAUUUACUGGACAGAGUGCUGUGAUACCGAAGUGUAUAAAGCUACAGUAAAAGAUGACCUCACCAAGUGGCAGAAUGUUCUGAAGGCUCAUAGCUCUGUGGACUGGUUAAUAGUGAUAGUUGAAAAUGAUGCCAAGAAGAAAAACAAAACCAACAUCCUUCCCCGAACCUCUAUUGUGGACAAAAUAAGAAAUGAUUUUUGUAAUAAACAGAGUGACAGGUGUGUUGUGCUCUCCGACCCCUUGAAGGACUCUUCUCGAACUCAGGAAUCCUGGAAUGCCUUCCUGACCAAACUCAGGACAUUGCUUCUUAUGUCUUUUACCAAAAACCUAGGCAAGUUUGAGGAUGACAUGAGAACCUUGAGGGAGAAGAGGACUGAGCCAGGCUGGAGCUUUUGUGAAUAUUUCAUGGUUCAGGAGGAGCUUGCCUUUGUUUUCGAGAUGCUGCAGCAGUUCGAGGACGCCCUGGUGCAGUACGACGAACUGGACGCCCUCUUCUCUCAGUAUGUGGUCAACUUCGGGGCCGGGGAUGGUGCCAACUGGCUGACUUUUUUCUGCCAGCCAGUGAAGAGCUGGAACGGAUUGAUCCUCCGAAAGCCCAUAGAUAUGGAGAAGCGGGAAUCGAUCCAGAGGCGAGAAGCCACCCUGUUAGAUCUGCGCAGUUACCUGUUCUCUCGCCAGUGCACCUUGCUGCUCUUCCUGCAGAGGCCGUGGGAGGUGGCCCAGCGCGCCCUAGAGCUGCUGCACAACUGUGUGCAGGAACUGAAGCUCUUAGAAGUCUCCGUCCCACCUGGUGCUCUGGACUGCUGGGUGUUUCUGAGCUGUCUGGAGGUGUUGCAGAGGAUAGAAGGCUGCUGUGACCGGGCACAGAUCGACUCAAACAUUGCCCACACUGUGGGGCUGUGGAGCUAUGCCACAGAAAAGUUAAAGUCCUUGGGCUAUCUGUGUGGACUUGUGUCAGAGAAAGGACCUAACUCAGAAGAUCUCAACAGGACAGUUGACCUUUUGGCAGGUUUGGGAGCUGAGCGACCAGAAACAGCCAACACAGCUCAGAGUCCUUAUAAGAAACUGAAAGAAGCAUUAUCAUCAGUGGAAGCUUUUGAAAAACACUACUUAGAUUUGUCCCAUGCCACCAUUGAAAUGUAUACAAGCAUUGGGAGGAUUCGAUCUGCUAAGUUUGUUGGAAAAGAUCUGGCAGAGUUUUACAUGAGGAAAAAGGCUCCACAAAAGGCAGAAAUCUAUCUUCAAGGAGCACUGAAAAAUUACCUGGCUGAGGGCUGGGCACUCCCCAUCACACACACAAGGAAGCAGCUGGCCGAAUGUCAAAAGCACCUUGGACAAAUUGAAAACUACCUGCAGACCAGCAGCCUUUUAGCCAGUGACCGCCACCUCACUGAAGAGGAGCGCAAGCACUUCUGCCAGGAGAUACUUGACUUUGCCAGCCAGCCAUCAGACAGCCCAGGUCAUAAGAUAGUGCUACCCAUGCAUUCCUUUGCACAACUGCGAGAUCUCCAUUUUGAUCCCUCCAAUGCCGUGGUCCACGUGGGCGGCGUUUUGUGCGUUGAGAUAACCAUGUACAGCCAGAUGCCUGUGCCUGUUCACGUGGAGCAGAUUGUGGUCAAUGUCCACUUCAGCAUUGAGAAAAACAGCUACCGGAAGACUGCGGAGUGGCUUACCAAGCACAAGACGUCCAAUGGGAUCAUUAACUUUCCACCUGAGACCGCACCUUUCCCUGUAUCCCAAAACAGUUUGCCCGCGCUGGAGUUGUAUGAAAUGUUUGAGAGAAGCCCAUCUGAUAACUCCUUGAACACGACUGGGAUUAUCUGCAGAAACGUCCACAUGCUCCUGAGAAGGCAGGAGAGCAGCUCCUCUCUAGAGAUGCCCUCAGGGGUGGCUCUGGAGGAGGGUGCCCACGUGCUGAGGUGCAGCCACGUGACCCUGGAACCAGGGGCCAACCAGAUAACAUUCAGGACUCAGGCCAAGGAACCUGGAACGUAUACACUCAGGCAGCUGUGCGCCUCGGUGGGCUCCGUGUGGUUCGUCCUCCCUCACAUCUACCCCAUUGUGCAGUACGACGUGUACUCGCAGGAGCCCCAGCUGCACGUGGAGCCGCUGGCUGAUAGCCUUCUGGCAGGCAUUCCUCAGAAAGUCAAGUUCACUGUCACUACCGGCCAUUAUACGAUAAAGAAUGGAGACAGCCUGCAGCUCAGCAAUGCCGAAGCCAUGCUCAUUCUGUGCCAGGCGGAGAGCAGGGCCGUGGUCUACUCCAACACGAGAGAACAGUCUUCUGAGGCCGCGCUCCGGAUUCAGUCCUCCGACAAGGUCACGAGCAUCAGUCUGCCUGUUGUGCCUGCGUACCACGUGAUCGAAUUUGAACUGGAAGUUCUCUCUUUACCUUCAGCCCCAGCACUCGGAGGGGAGAGUGACAUGCUGGGGAUGGCAGAGCCCCACAGGAAGCAUAAGGACAAACAGAGAACUGGCCGCUGCAUGGUUACCACAGACCACAAAGUGUCGAUUGACUGCCCGUGGUCCAUCUACUCCACGGUCAUCGCACUGACCUUCAGCGUACCCUUCAGGACCACACACACCCUCCUGUCCUCAGGAACACGGAAAUAUGUUCAAGUUUGUGUCCAGAAUUUGUCAGAACUUGACUUUCAGCUGUCAGAUAGUUAUCUUGUAGAUACCGGUGAUAGUACCGACCUGCAACUAGUACCACUGAACACGCAGUCCCAGCAGCCCAUCUACAGCAAGCAGUCGGUGUUCUUCGUCUGGGAACUCAAGUGGACAGAAGAGCCUCCCCCUUCUCUGCAUUGCCGGUUCUCUGUUGGAUUUUCCCCAGCUUCUGAGGAACAGCUGUCUAUCUCCUUAAAGCCGUAUACUUAUGAAUUUAAAGUGGAAAAUUUUUUUUAACUCCCUGGAAAUAUUUCUUGGAGUCAUUUCAUCUUCAGGGGCAUUGCUUUCUAAGGCAUAUCUCUAGUUUUUCAAAGAAAAGCUGAAAACAUAUGAAAACCUGCUAGCUGAGUAUUGUGAAGAUUUUCUUAGAACCUGUGCAUCAUUUGGUAGAAGCCAAUUUGAGUGUGGAAUGAAGAGUAGCCUUGAGCUAGACAUUAUACAACGUGAAGGCUGAGAUCUUUCCCCCUUCGGGAAUGGAGUAUUGCAGAACAGGCUCCCUCUGCUCCCUGGAGGUUUUGAUCACGAGGCUCUCAGACCUCUUGGAGGUGGAUAAAGAUGAAGCACUGACUGAAUCUGAUGAGCAUUUUUCGACAAAGCUUAUGUAUGAAGUUGUCGACAACAGUAGCAACUGGGCAGUGUGUGGGAAAAGCUGCGGUGUCAUCUCCAUGCCAGUGGCUGCUCGGGCCACUCACAGGGUCCACAUGGAAGUGAUGCCGCUCUUCGCCGGGUAUCUCCCCCUGCCCGACGUCAGGCUGUUCAAGUACCUCCCCCAUCAUUCUGCACACUCCUCCCAACUGGACGCUGACAGCUGGAUAGAAAACGACAGCCUGUCAGUAGACAAGCACGGGGACGACCAGCCGGACAGCAGCAGCCUCAAGAGCAGGGGCAGCGUGCAUUCGGCCUGCAGCAGCGAGCACAAAGGCCUACCCAUGCCCCGGCUGCAGGCACUGCCGGCCGGCCAGGUCUUCAACUCCAGCUCGGGCACACAAGUCCUGGUCAUCCCCAGCCAAGAUGACCACGUCCUGGAAGUCAGUGUAACAUGACAACGCCAGGGUGAACACACGCCACUUCCCAGCUAGGAGUGCACUUUAUGGGACUGUGACUGGACUCUUCUCCGUUCUGGCUCCAGCCAGACCUUCAGUGGUCCUGCCUGGCCAUGGGGACAUCAGAGAGUGUCAUCACGCAGCUGGCCAGCUGAGUUCUGUUGUUGUUUUCAUGCCGCCUGUGAUCUCAGAUUCCUGCUUUUCUCACCCCGUCCCCAUGCUGGUGUCCGACGCCGCUUACUCAGAGCCCUGGCCUCCCUCCCCCUACCUCACACGCUGCUCAUGAAAGUUUCCACCCACGCUGUCUCCACGGAACAGCCUCCGUCUGCUGGCUCUUCGUGGAAGGCCAUUUGUCUUUCAGGUAGACACUCAGCAGGCCUCACGGUCUUAGUGACGUGUGUGCCUUUCUGGUCACACAGCUGCCCAGUUUCCUGAUCGGGGUGGAUUUGUGUCCCCUAAGGGGUAAAACAGCCAUUUACCGCAGAUCCUCUCAUUGUGCUUUUCUAGAAUAACACCCUUCUAGGGGAGGCGGGUGGGGGAGGGAGGGAUCAUAACCCCUUCUGUGCCUUGGGACGCCGGAGCUGGGGGACCUGGAGGCCCAUCAGCCGGAGCCACGUGAAAGAUACUGAAGAAAGCUGAGACCCGGCUGUGAGGAGCGCCUCAGCGGUGAGGUGGUUUAGGGAUAAAUGUUUCUGGAACCCUGUGGUCCCCCAUAAUGUUGAUAGAAUAUCAUAUGCACUGGGAGUUAAAUAUAUUUAAUUUAAUGAUCAUUAUAUAUGUGGGGGUUAAUAUGUUGUUUUUCUGUCCCUUUAAAGUCUUUACAUGUAAUUGUAGCUGUAUAAUCGUUAUUUUUCUUUUGCAUCUUAAGUCUUAGAAAUUAAGAUAUUCCAUCGUGAGGAUGAGAGAGGUCCUCAGGGUGUUUUUGGUCUGGUUGUAGGGAAGGACUCAAGUCCUGGAAUGUCCUCCACUGGUCUACUGAGUUGCAGUCACACUGUUCCAAUGGAUUAUUUGCUUUCGGUUGUAAAUUUAAUUGUACAUAUGGUUGAUUUAUUAUUUUUAAAAAUACAGACUAACUGAUGUAAUGUUUAUGUAUAAGUUGCACCAAAAAUCAAGGACAAAAAUAAGUGUGUUUGUUUUUACAGGUGUGAAAGUCACAGCUUGUAAAUAAGUGUUGUAUGUAUUAAACCUUUUCCAGUUCUCCAAAGCGAUGUAUUUUUGUACUUUUGAAAUAGAGUACUCUUAAUUUACUGGGCAAAUGUGCUUGGAAUUGAACUUGACAAGAUUAGCUCAAGCAGAUAGAGUCGGGUCCAGCAGUGGGUGGCCCUCGUGUGAAUCCCCGUGGAUGUGCAAGUUGUGGAGAGAAGGAGCACCGGGUUCCUGCCCAGCACUGUGCUUGCGGGAGGCGGUGGGGCAUGGGAGGAAGGAGGCACAGACCGGGGAAAUAUGACAGCCGUCAUUUCCAGUAUUCUCUGUGUUGUCUUUUAGCUCAUUCAAUAAAUAAAGGUGGUGUGAUUUUUUUUUCCUCCUGUCUUUUUCAUUUGUGGAAAUUGGAGACGUGUAAAGAAGAUAAAUAAUUGUGUAAUUAAACUUUCCAGAAAUUUAUCUUCCUCAUGUGCAGUUUAACAAACUUGGUCAAACUAGUUAGCAAAUUAGAACUUCAGAAUCUAAUGAUAGUUUAGGGUUUCUAAAAUAAGGUUUUUUAUUGUAAAAAUUGACGAUUGCCCUGCAUUUCUACCAAGUCCUGUGAAUAAAGAGAUGGGAGAUUUGAUUCCGUCAGAAGAGCCUGUAAUCCGUGUCGUCAGCCUGGGAGCCUUCCCCAGUGUAAUGUAGCUUUCUCUCUUACCUUCUGGAAGAGGGAAUGUUUCAUUUAUUACUGUUUGAUUUUCUUGUAUCUGGUUCUACUCCCAGGAUGAAAUUAUCCAACUACAUAUAUAUUUAGAGGAAGAAAGUGAAGGGGAAAUUUCAAAUGUUUACGGCGCUUAAUUGCCUGGAAAUGGAAUGAAAUCAAAUUUAUCAGUUUUUUCCCCCUAAUUACCCAAAAGAUCUUUUGCAAACUAUGUUACAUGAAUGCUUCUGCCUCUUUAAGACAAAGAAGAAUGUCACCCAAAAUUGUCAUUUUUUUCUUAAUGUUCAUCAUAAAAGUCCUAAAAGAGUAACUGUAAUUGGAUGUUUAUUGUUUUUAUAUAAAGUAAGUUGUAUGUGUUUGAGCCAAGCUGGUUUGGUUGAUAAAGAGAUGUUAAAUAAUUGUGAAGCCAGAUAUGCAAUGUGUAUCUGAAAAGCAAGGAAUUUGCAGCCGUUUUACAAAUAUCUGUGGAACAUGUAAAUACUGUCAAAUGGAAAAUAAAAUGUUAUAAUUUUUGUGAAUUUCAUGGGAUGUCCUAUGAUUGGAAAAAUUAUAACUCUUCUGAUUCUAAUGUGGAAAUUGUUGUAUUUAAUCUGAAAAUGACUUUACCUACAACAGUUCCAUUGUCAGCACAGCCUAGGAGGGUCAGAUUCCUGUAUUAAUUACUCUUAGUGGAGAUGCCAGAUAUCCCAUACAGAAUUAGCAGAGAAAAUACACACAGGCUUCUAUUCAAAUUUUCUUUAGUGCUUAAAAUUAAGUUUUAAAAUGAAAUCAGACACUGCAGGUUUGUAUAUAAAAUGAAAAGCUAUACUACUUUUUAUAAAAGGGCAAACUGGGCUGAUGUAAAUGUUUUACUUUCAACUGUGUUCUUUAAAAUAAAUCCUACCUGGUUUUUAAAUUUUAUUUUUCAUGAAAAUGCUCCUUUCUCUACAUUUAUUCAUCCUAUAUACAUCAGGCUGUAAGACCCCCCCCAGGCAUCAUUAAUACAAUGUGUUGGGAUUCUGUGACUGGAAAAGGUGACAAGUUGGUGACUUUGACACUGCAGGUAUUCCAUUUUCAUGGUUUACUAUGAAAAGUCAUUUUUCAUAUUAUGUAAUAUAUUGUUAGAUUAAAACCAUUGUAUUAAGACUGUUUAAAAUGUAAGCAUUGUAAUUCUGAAAAUACACAUUUUAAGAAGAAA